AGCACACAGGGCAGAGCCCAGCUCUGCUCGGCAGCGUCCGACCACAGGAAUGUAAUUACAGGAGCCAAACCCGAGCAGCUGCUCCCACCGCGCCCCGGCGAGCGGCACCCCGGCUCUCGCACAGCCACCUUUUCCCAUCUGCGCGCUACUUGUGGCUCAGAGUGAAAACUCCUCACGUCCCGGCACCGAAGUGACGCCGCAAACCGGGAGCCGCCGCUGCUCCCCGGCCGGACGCGAGAUGGCGCGCGGGAUCGCGCUGCGGGAUCGCUGCCUGCAGCCCCGGCCGACGCUUCCCGGGGUGAAAGGUCCUCCCCCGUUGGGGUUAGUUGGCCUCGCCCUGCUGAAUUGAACUGUUCCGCAGAAGCUUUGCCGUGUAAUUCAGAGUUUCCGAGGGGAAAGCAGACCCCACGGAGCUGGGUCACGUUGCUGCUUCCGUCCCUGGCUGCCUGGAGAUACAGCUGGAUGGACUGAGGCUUAUCGGGGAAAAUGGAUGUGGUCAGGAUGUGAUAAGGCAAUCAAAUCCAUCUCCAGAGCUGCAAGAAAAGGAUGCAAUGUAUAAUUUAUUUGGCACUUUUCGUCUCCCUGUUUGCAGAUUGCUUGGUUUCUAAAUAUAUUUGUCCAGUUAUUCAAAAUUACUCAUGGAUCUCUUCAGUGAGUAAUACUUGACCUGCAGAUCAUCCAAAAAGUGAAUAUUGCAAUCAGACUCUCAGUUUCUGCUGUUGUUUCUUGUAGCUAACAGAUGUGUGCGACUUAGGUAAUCAACUCAGGAGGAAACUCCAAUUUGAUUAUGAUGUUUGCAGUUCAGUUUCCACUGUGCCCGCUCAAGAAGUCACCAGUCAGGAGAUGGCCGAAAGGAUCUCAUCUCUGGCACAAAGCAAGGGCUGCCUUUUCCGCUCACUACAGACACAGAGCUGCUGCAGGGGGAGACUGAGUGCAGCCUCACGGACCCGCAGAGUCACGGCCAACACACAAAGACUGAGCACCAAAAGAUAACAGCUUUCCACUUCCACAGGUGCAAAAUGAGACUUACACCAAAGGUGUCCUCAUCACCAAGGUCUCUGAUAACUCUUUCUCCAGGAAGAGACAUUAAAUUGGAAAAUACCUUCACAUCGCUUCCUCAGGCAGCCCGUCCCAGUGCCUCCCCGCUCUCUCAUUAAGUUCUUCCUAACGCCCAAUCUAAACCUCUCUCAUCACAACUUGAGACUGCUUCCUCACAUCCAAUCUCUUGCACCUGCCUGAAUCAACCCUUGGGUGCUUCGGUUCUUCUUCCGAUUUGCCAUCAGACUGCAGAGGCCUCCAGGGACCCCAGCGUUAAGCUGCUCUUUGCCCCCACCAGCAUUAAAUGCAUUCUCUUAUUCCCAUUUUCGUUUGUGAAUGGAAGUUUAAGGUCUCACUUAAUCACAUAAUCUCCAAAGCAGGAGCUUUAGGAGAUCCGUCAGCCACGGCAAAGCUCUCACUACUACACCAGGGUCAGAAAGAGCAGUGUUGCCAUCUAGGGACUUGCUGCGAGCUUUAAAAAAGAGAGAGGUUUCUUUGGAUGAGAUGCUUCAAUUAUUCCAUAGGAGUAGUGGCAGUUCGCUUGCUCACUGUAGGUGUGCUGGGGAGGAAGGGGGUUUUGCAAAAUGGCCUUUUAGGCUUGGCUUUUGUUUUCCUGCCAUGCGAGGAGCCCUGCCCCGUGUGCAUGCAGCCAGCAGCUGCUCCACUGCAAUCUCAGCUCCAGGACUGCAGCCAUCCCCACACCCACUGCGCCUGUUGCUCACUGAUGCUGCUCUCCAUGUUCACUGAAAGUAAUUUUUCAGUGGAAGAAAAUGGAAGGAGGAUUUGCUGCUUCUGCCCUGGCAGGAGGGUUUAUACAUGAGCAAAUGGUUUGUAACAAAUGCAGUGUAAGAUCGAUGGAGCUGCUCCUCUGUUCACAAAUUGUUCACUGUCCAUGGGCUUCAAGAUGAAGAAAAUUUUCCCUUGUUUUGUAGAGCACACACACAUACACCUUUUCUCAUUACUAUUAUUUAUAUAUGCAUUCACUGAAAAAAAAAAAACACUUCUGAGAACACCUUUUGCAGAAUUAUUUUGGCUCACCUCUUGUUACAGUUGUAAUCUGGAGAGAGGACAAGUGUCAGGUAUUUUUUUCCCCCAUUUCUCCCUUCUUUUUUGUUUUUUUUUGUAAUUGUCCUAUGAGCCUUCUGUCACGGGUUUGAGCCUUUGGGCACUGGGAGGUCAUAAGACUUUGGCCCCCCUUUCCCUGUGCAGUGAGUGUGGCGUGGAGCUGCUCCCGAGUGGUGCUGGGGUAGCACAGCUCCUCCUGCCUCACUCCACCAAAGCCCCGGGUUCUUCACAGGGAGCCCUAAAACCUCCAGUUCUCCAUGAAGCUCUGAAAACAACCCCCCACACCACGGCAUGCUGCAGGCUGAAGCCCUUGUCUAUUUCUACUGCUGGGGUGGUUUUGUUUCCUGGAUAAAGCUCUCUUUUCCUAUUUCCACAGCUGGAAUGGAAAGGCACUGCCGUGCCCUUGGCAGUGGGCAGCUGUGCUGCUGUGUGUGGGAUGUGAAGCCCCCCCUGGCCCAGGUAAGUGAGGCUGCUCCAAGCCCAGCUCCUGCCCUAUCUGCGUCCUGCAGGAGUCAAAAGCCCCAUGAAACAUGCAUUGCUGCAGCCUGCCUAACAAAACCUAGCAGUUCAUUAAAAAGAAGGAAAAUAUCAUAUUUUUGCCCUGAAGAUCCAGGCAGUGCCAGGUGCUAAGUAGGUCACUAUUCAAAUCCCUGUCUUUGUUCCAGAUGUGGGCAUGUGUGCAUACUCUACAUAUUGAUUUGUGCAAACCAUGUAACAUACACAGAACUCAUUGGCCUGUGAGCUCAGCAAACACACAAUUGCUCUGCAAAUCCAUCGCUGGUAGCAGCAGUUGGGUUGCUUGCUCAAAUAAAUGCAUUUGCAAACUCUUCUGGGCCUGCUUUAAAAACACCAGCUUAUUUGCAUGGUGCAGUGCAGCCAGCUCUGCUCCACAGCCCUACAGCCUCGAGCUCAGGUGCUUUCAGGUUUUUACAUACAGCAAUUCUGAACACAAGCGUAUUUUUGCAAACAUAACUACCAAAAAAAAAAAAAAAUCUCUUUUGAUUUGUAAUUUAUGAGCAACUCAUUGUUUUGCAAAGCAGGAGCUGAUGUGGCACCCUUAGCUUGUGCAGGUUGGUUACCUGCUCAGCACCUCCCGGCUUGCCCCACAGAGCAGACCCAUGCCAUCUUGUUCUCCCCACACAGAUUUGUGCUGCCAUCUUGUACACCUCAUUCAGAUUCAUGCUGCCAUCUUGUUCUCCCAACAGCUGCUUCUGUGUCCUCCUGCUCCACCAGCGCCCUGUAAAACAGCCCCACGAAGCAGCCAUCCCCAGUUUAAGCCCAUCCUAAUCAAUCAGAGGUUGUUGUAUGGGUCAAAGAGCGAACGACCCGCCUGUCUUUUUCCAGCCUGCCCAGAUACACACUGUGAUGGGGAAGGCUGGGAAUCUGAUACGGGCUGCAGCCCAGCAGUGCUCAUGGGGAGAGAAGUGCGGCUCCGGGUGAGGAUCUCUGUGGCAGUUAUAUGACUAAUCCCGACAUCUACGGAUGUUUUCCCCUGCGCCUGUAAGAGUUAUGUGAUCCUAAGCUUCCUCGAGGAAAACAAGCCCAUUCUGUCUAGAUGACUAAGUGCUAGCAGAAAGCAAGUAUAUGUUUCCAUAUCUGAUGAGAGACCAACAUGUCCAAGAGAACAGUGCCCCACGGAAAAGCUCACCAAAGCCACUGAAAGCUGGGCACCUGAGAACAGCUAGGUGCUCUCAAAAAGCAGCUGGGAGCCAGAAAAGCAGGAGCCCUUCUGGUCCUUUGCUCAGGCCAACAUAACCCGGGGACUGGGAAGGGCAAACAGGUGUUAAAUGUCCCUGGGGCUUCUCGGAAAAUAGGCAAUGUCAAAGCUCUAGCUCCCAGUGCUUUGGGAAAGUCACACCAAGGGUUCAUGGUCCCCAUCUCCACGCUGCUCGCUUUCCGAUUUCACUGGGAAGAUAUUCAAGUACGCAGAGUUCAUUUGUGCUGGCAGCAAAACUCCAAACCCAGAGAUCUCCGACCAAUGUACAAUGCAAUGUACACAGAGCACAUUGCCCACAGCCCACACGUGGUGAGGAAAAGUGUCACUGGUGGCUAAAGGCAGAAACACCUCACAUGGUGAAGGUUUCCCCCUCUGGACCGCCCUGGAGCAUGGUUUCCUCCUCCCAUGCUGAGCUGCAGUGAUGGAGCAUCAUCUUCUCAGAGCCAGUUUGGGUUGGUUACCAACCGCUGGAUCUGCACAGCAGUACAGGAGAGCAGCAGACAGAAGGGCGGCGGUGGCCCCAGUCACUCAGUGUCCCUCAGAGAUCUGAUUCAGUUGAGCAGCUGCAAUUAACUGCCAGCACUCACGAGUUCAUCCACAUCCAUUCUGUGAGCCCGUGACUUCCUAUGGAUCUAAACUUUCACUUAACAAUGAAGUCUUUUUGUGGCACUGCACAGAACAGCUUGACGUUUCUCAAAUUUAUUUACAUUUAUACCCAGAAGAUGAGCUGAUGUGGUGCAAGGUUGAUUAUUAUUUAUAGUCAGCUCAUAACUCCUAAAAUACGCUUGGAGGCCUGGAUUGGAGCUUCUCCAGUGACUCGGUUUGACAACACUGACAGAAGUCUUUAAGGACAGCACUGUAACUUUCUAGAAGACCCAAAUCGAGAACAUUGUUCUGUAUUGUGCAAGAAUGAAAUUCAGUUGUUCUCAACUAAAAUAUGAUCUCUGGCUCAAAGCAGUUAAUCGCUACACCAUGGGAUUCACAGAGCACCUGCAGGGCAGGUAACUGCCCCGGGCAUUAACGUCUUCAAUCGAAUCAGGAAGAUCUGCACUCUUCCCACUAAACUGCCAAACCAAGGUGCUCUUUACACCUGGCCAAUACUGAGAGAUGCAGACGGACUGAGAACCUGUUGGCUUCAGAAAUAAGCUGCAGAAAUAAGCUACAGCAUCUGAGAGUCAGCAGGGAGCUAAAGCUCAGCUGUGGCUCAGAAGUACAGAAAACACUUCUGGCAAGGCUGAAUCAAUCUGCUGCAGACUGCCCAGAGUUCACAGCCAGCAGCAGAACCCGGUCGCCCCGUCUCUGUGCUUGCGUGCAGGAUGCUUAACAUUAUGGUCUAUUGAAAAUCAAAGGGGAAUUUGUUUUAGUUUGUAAAAUCUGUAUGCAAGCCUAAUUUUGACCAGCAGCAACUUCAGUGAGUAGGCUGGUGUAACAUUUUCACAUGAUUUGUACUGGAGGAAUAUAUACUUCUAUAUCUAUAGAAACACCCACAGAAAUUCUUUUAAAGAAUCACAAUAGUUGGAAUGUGAGAUCUCACAGCUCUCGAGGCUUUCUGCUCCAAUGGUGGGUGAACCAAACUCCAGAGUAUGGACAAUGAGAAUUAAGUGUUUUACUUGUAUACGCAUGCCUUACUUCUAAAUGGAAGGUCACAUACCUUAACUGAACUGUACAACAGAGAAGACUCAGCUAAAGGCAGUAGAACUGGGGGAGUGACAGGUCAACCUCAGAUGCUCCUGUGGCACACAGAAAUCGGAUAAAGUUCAGCAGAAUUGACAACAAAAAGGCAGCGAUAGCCAGCAAACAUCUAACUUGAAUUCCAAUGGUGACAGAGAAGGAAACCAGCACAGAAAAGGGCAAUGACUCACCCAGAGUCAGAACUGAAAUGCGGGUGCCCAAAUCGUCAUCCGUUGUACCACAUUCCUCACUGAGCUGCCACCUCUUGUUCCCACCGACAGGACUAAACCUCCCAGGCUGUUGUAUUGUUGGGCACAGCUCUCCAAGCAGCAAUUUCACCCAGUUUAAUAAGACUGCAAGAAUGGAAUGUAAUUAACUGUAUUCUGGCAUUCAGUAGUUCCUUAUGCUGUCUUUUUAUAUAGUGAAGUGGAGCCAGCCCAGGGGAGCUCAGUGCAUGCAUUGUACCCGAGUGACUGGAAGGGAUGGAGCCAGGAUCUCCUCCUUUGCAGCCCUCAUCUAAGUGCUGGCAGUGGAGGUAAGGGGAUCUCACUGGAGAUACCUGCAUACCUGAGGCCUUCCAAAGGCAAGCAGUUUUUCUUCCUCUGUUUCUGCAUCCAGGGCUGCUGCAGUUGGGCUUGUCCUCAUUUGCUGCAGCCUAGGAUUGUGCCCCUCUCUACUGCUGCUGCACUUUCCAUCACAUUGCAGGAAUUAUUAUACUCUGACAAGGAAAAAAGGUGGGUUUCCAGGUUGUUCUCAAUUGCAUUAAUCUUACUGCUAUCAGCCUCUCAAAGAAGCUUCUCCAAGAAGGUACUAAACCAUAAUUAAGGCACUGCAUUCCCAGAGAUCUCUUUUGUUUUAUGCUAUGGGUAAUCUUUAAGCUAAGGCGAACACGGAAUGCAGCUCAAUGAGCUCCAUGAGGGCACGGGGCUGACAGCCUGUUUGAACAUAAUGGUGCCUCUGCUCUCAGAGGAGCAGAGUCUCUGAUUUUAGGCCUCUGAAGCGCUCAAUUACCGAACAAAAACUACAGCGAGUUCCCUCAAAACUGCAGCCACCGAUGUUACGGAUUGUUUUCAACAAACAAAAGAUGACAGAAUAAAGGAUGGGGGUAGGGGAAGUCUGCACUGUAUGCCAAGGUUUUUCUAAAAAUAUUUUACACCUGCUAUUCGUUGCGCACACUGCUCAUAUUUUGUCUGUGAGGUAAAGAACUCGCAGUGCCAAGGAGAACAUGGUUUAUGUUCCUGAAGCCUUAAUGCUUUUUCCCUUCUGCGAGGCGAAACUCCUUACUACCUUCACUAAAAUAAAGCCAAGAGGACAAAAGUCACACAUACGCUGCCACAGUAACAGUUUAACCAUGCCUCUCGCAGGGCUUUGGAAACAGUCCCUUCAGCAGGAUUUUACUGCUCUGGCACUUCAAUUUAGCAAACUUUUUAUGCAGCUCAUGAGAGGAAUGGAGCCAACUCUGUACACUCAAUUUAAAUCAACUUGCUGAUGGUAGAAAAAAGAAUGCUGAACCGUCGGUUUGCUUCAUCUGCUCCAAAACUACCAACACAAACUCUGGGGUAUUUAUUACUGAAAGUUAAUAGAACAGUCUGGGGCACGAGCUCAGUGAAUGAACUCUGGUUUGAUCCCAAGCCGGCUGAAAGAGCUGAUUUAACAACUAGUUGUUUGGUUACUUGAUGUUUCCGAAGCGCAGCAGGACGGUUUGCUGUCGCAGGCCGCUGUGUUUGUGGUGCAGGGGAGCACAGAGCCGUGCUGCUGCCGGGCGAGCAUCUGCCUGUGGCCUGCAGCAAGAUGGUACCAGCGAUGCUCCAGAGCCUGCUGAUUUUGCACAGUGAAGAGCAGGGAAUGAUCCUUUGUGACUGGAAUUACAGUUUGUGUAAGUUGUGACUGUUUGCUUGAAGCUGAGAGAACCACAAAAACCUGCACUCACCGAGACUGCAAAGCCAGGCCAGCCCAUGGCCUCCGGGUUCACCGCCGCAGGUGGAAUGUGAAGAACAUGGCGUGGCAAUGAAGCACGAUGCGCUGUGAACUUGACCCAUGAACCGGCUCUCCCUCAUGAAAACAAUCACAUCAUUUAAUUUCGGCUACUACAUCGAGAUCCAGAGUGAGCUCUGUCAUUCGUCCACACAACAAACGCAGCCCAGACCGUAGCUGUCAAGCCCUCCCUGCCCCGCCGUGCCAAGCAGACCCUGAACUCAAUUUCACUGAUUCCCCCAUUACAAUGCUCGAAAGCAAUCAACUUGUGCUGAACUGAGUCAGCCUUACAAAUGAACGUGCGGCCACCCUUAUCAAUGGCCACACCAACGCUCGAACACUAAUCUUGUUUUAAUGUAGCAUGAUUGUUUAAAAAAUCUUAAUAGGAAAAGCAAAUUAGUACAGCCUUCACUGCAGUUAUAACUGUGUCUUCGUAGGGUAGCAGGCAUGGCUUAGGUCUGUCAAAUCCCACAAAUCUGGCAGAUUUAAUAAUUAUUAUUUCAGGUUUUGCGCCCUGUUUAAUUAAGAGAGGAAGAAUGGACAUUUUAACAAAUUAACAGACAGUGGGAGAAAACAAACCCCGGUAAUUACUGAUUUUGACAUUUUAUAAAACCAGUAAAAAUACCUUGAAAAUUCCGCCUUGCAUGUUUGAAGAGAUCUACACCAAAGAUGGGUGUGAGCAGUAACUACUGGAGGAGGUGCUGCCGUAAACGUGGGCCUGCAGCCACUCUGACACUGACAUGGCUGCAGUCAGGUCUGGUUCUGGUUCAGAAGUGAAGCACAACACUGUUGCUACCUCAGCUCGUUGCAGGGAUCGGUUUUUGAAACUCGUGCUGCAGACUCUGAGCGAAGAGACAGGAUGCGCUAUGGGAGACGCAUACUUACAGCAUCGCCUUUUCUUCACUGCAAAUAAAAGACAUCUUCUGAGGUUUAACUGGCACCUGCAAUUGUAAGGAAGCAAACUGCAUGCUCACAAGAGAAAACACAAGAGAACUCGCACAACUGAGCAAUGCUUCCUUCUUUCACCUUCACUCCAUUGAGGCCCUUUCUCUGAAAGCUUACCUGAGAGCACGGCUGCAGGAACAGAGCACUGGGUGCAUGCAAAUCAAACGAGACUGACUGGGCACUCAUUCAGAACAGUAUGCUGCAAAGUCCAUGUUUGAGCUAACAAGUUCAGCACUAAGCUUUAGUAAAAGAUGAUAAAUAAGUGGAUGAAGUGGACUGAACAGAAAACAGUAAAAGCUUUAAUUUCUAGAAGGAGAAGGAGAACACAUUAAAAAUGUUAUUUGCAUUCUACAAGAACACCAAAUGCUUUUUCUCCAGAUUGUCUCCUUGCAAAGCACCAUAAACAACCCAAGAAGGACAAAAACCUGCUUGUUAAGAUCUGCUUUAUAUUACGAGGUGCUGCUGUAUGCAGUCACAUAAAAAAUAAUAAGCAUCUUUUUUUUCCAGAGUUUUCUCCCAGCAACAACUGCCUUCAUUGCAGAGCUGGUGAUGGUGACAGUGAACAAAUCAGAAGGGAAAGAGGGUAGUACUGCUGGAUGGCCUUUAAAACAAAUGAUCUUAGCUUAUUAUCACAGGAAUAUAAUUACAGAACACAGCCUCCACCAUCACAGCUGCUCAACCUCUUUGCCAGGUUAGCGAUAACUACACUGUGAUUACUAAACUUAUAGGAGCCUUAAACUUUAGCCAUAUAAACAGAGUAACACACAAAUCAAACAUUCUGCAUGUUUCAGUAUUUGUAAAAAUUACACACGGCUCAGGGGCCUUUUAGAAGCAAAAGCACACACUUAAAAUUAGUGAUAACGCUUUUAAGUACAGCUCUGCCCACUGAUGUGCCGUCAGAGAAAAGAUAAACCAGAUGGCAAACUCAAUAAAAAGCAGCAGACAGAUGAAUGCCUAAAAAAACGUUCACUCCACUAUUGCUUUGGAAUUGGUUGUCAUGGCAUUACAAAUUGACAGCACGGCCAGCCUCACACCUCCAACCCAUCCAUUUGCUAGAGCAAUACUUGUCACAGCUUCACUCUGGCCAAAGCAAAGACCUCAGUGCUGUAGAAAUACACUCCUCCUCACAGCCAGGUUAUUUCCACCAAAUCUCUGUUCGACUCCCACCAAACUGGGUGGGUGUGUGUGUGGCACAGGGCUGGCGCUGGGACAACUCACGCCUUUCACAAAAGCAAGUGCAUCAGACAAGCAAAGGAUGAUCUGCAUUCUCAAACACCGAUUUCAGAACCGUAAAGUUCAGGCAAUUUUAACACCGUGCUCCUUUUGUAGCUCAGAAUUCCUUGCUGUGAGCCAAAGCACAACCCACUGAGCACACAUCUUCUCUUCGUACAACUGGAACUGGGAUGGAAAACAAGUUGCUGGUUAAGAGUUCGGCAUUAAGUAAGCAAGUUUCUCUUCCCCAUGACAACAUCUGUUAGCAAGGAACAGCAUUUGUCAAAAAGACAGAAAAGAGAAAGGGAUGCCAUGGAAAAUCUGGUUUUUGUCACCUUCUGAGUUCUUUGUCCUCCCACUCACGUUCAUGUUUUGAAAACCUAUGAAGUUCAAGUUGGUGAAAUCCACUAGAACAAAAACCUUAGAUUGCCACACUCUAGUUGCAUUACAUUUCUCAUUUUAAUAGAGGCAUAUAAGAUGGAAGUUUACAAUGAGCGCAGUAACCGUACAUCAGCACUUCUAUUCAGCUGAGCUUCUGAGUUACUCAUCCCCGGUACAGAACCAGAACGCUGAUGCAUUGUCUGGGACCUGCCGAGAUAAUAGCUCAAAUCCACUGCUUACACAGAAAGCGAGCUUCACUGAAUCACCUGAGCACCUUCCAGACAGCUCACAUCGCGCAGCAGCUCCGCACUCACACCGCUCGUAGCCUGAACUCUCAAGGCAAAAACAACUCACCGCCUUUUGACUUCAGCAGGCCACAGAAAACAAGCAAACAUUCGCUCAGUUCAUCAGGCAGCGCUGCCAGAAGCGUCUCAGGAUGCAACCAUCACUGUGGUGCAGCAACGUGGAGCCCCUCCAUGGCUCCUUGUGCUGCACCCAGCCACUCUGCUGCGCGAGGAGCGCUGCGACCUUCAGCACGGCAGCAGCACAGACCACAGCAGCCGAGUAAUUUUAAAGGAUUUUAAUACAAACUUAAUAUAAACUAUUUCAGUCCCUCUUAACAUGUAAGACACUGACUCAAAAUACUUUUAUACCUUUUUUCAAGUAUUGCACAAUGUAGGUACAAAAUUAAUAUUUACGAUUACAUUUUCUUCCAUAAUAUAUAGCAAAAAUCUUUAAACUUUUAACAGAAAAUACAA